rnacentral:rRNA from 1 species
GAUGAACGCUGGCGGCGUGCCUAAUACAUGCAAGUCGAGCGAACAGACGAGGAGCUUGCUCCUCUGACGUUAGCGGCGGACGGGUGAGUAACACGUGGAUAACCUACCUAUCAGACUGGGAUAACUUCGGGAAACCGGAGCUAAUACCGGAUAAUAUAUUGACCUGCAUGGUUCCAUAGUGAAAGACGGUUUUGCUGUCACUUAUAGAUGGAUCAGCGCCGCAUUAGCUAGUUGGUAAGGUAACGGCUUACCAAGGCAACGAUGCGUAGCCGACCUGAGAGGGUGAUCGGCCACACUGUAACUGAGACACGGUCCAGACUCCUACGGGAGGCAGCAGUAGAGAAUCUUCCGGAAUGGGCGAAAGCGUGACAGAGCAACACCGCGUGAGUGAUGAAGGUCUUCGGAUCGUAAAGCUCUGUUAUUAGGGAAGAACAAAUGUGUAAGUAACUAUGCACGUCUUGACGGUACCGAAUCAGAAAGCCACGGCUAACUACGUG